rnacentral:rRNA from 1 species
GAGUUUGAUCAUGGCUCAGAACGAACGCUGGCGGCAGGCUUAACACAGCAAGUCGAACGACAUAGUGGCAGACGGGUGAGUAACGCGUGGGAACGUGCCUUUCACUACGGAAUAGCUUCUGGAAACGGAAGGUAAUACCGUAUACGCCCUCCGGGGGAAAGAUUUAUCGGUGAAAGAUCGGCCCGCGUUAGAUUAGUUUGUUGGUGGGGUAAUGGCCUACCAAGACUACGAUCUAUAGCUGGUCUGAGAGGAUGAUCAGCCACACUGGGACUGAGACACGGCCCAGACUCCUACGGGAGGCAGCAGUGGGGAAUCUUGCACAAUGGGCGAAAGCCUGAUGCAGCCAUGCCGCGUGAAUGAUGAAGGCCUUAGGGUUGUAAAAUUCUUUCGCCAGGGAUGAUAAUGACAGUACCUGGUAAAGAAGCCCCGGCUAACUUCGUGCCAGCAGCCGCGGUAAUAC